CGAAGGGUUAGGGGAGCCAACCCGGAUUUAGAUUACCCGAGUAGUCCUAGCAGUAAACCGCUGUAUGCAAGAUGUUGCACAUCCUUCGUGGUUGUGCAGUAUUCGAAGGGAAGCCGUUAAGCAUACCGCCUGGGAAGUACGGUCGCAAGGCUGAAACUUAAAGGAAUUGGCGGGGGAGCACCACAAGGGGUGCGGCGUGCGGUUUAAUCUAACUUAACGCAGAAAAUCUCACCAGGGGCGACAGCACGAUGAAAGUCAGUCUAAAGGGCUUACUGGAGAAGCUGAGAGGUAGUGCAUGGCCGUCGUCAGCUCGUGCCGUAAGGUGUCCUGUUAAGUCAGGCAACGAGCGAGACCUGUAUCCACAAUUGCCAGCGGACUCUUCGGAGUGACCGGGAACAUUGUGGGGACUGCCCGUGAAAACGGGAGGAAGGUGCAGGCUACGGUAGGUCUGUAUGCUCCGAAUCUCCUGGGCUACACGCGCGCAACAAUGGUAUGGACAAUGGGACACUACCCCGAAAGGGGACGUUAAUCCUCGAAACCAUACCCAAGUACAGAUUGUGGGUUGUAACUCACCCACAUGACGCUGGAAUCCCUAGUAAUNNNNAGUUCAUCAUACUCUGGGAAUAUGC
rnacentral:rRNA from 1 species